CCUACGGGAGGCAGCAGUAAGGAAUAUUGGUCAAUGGACGCAAGUCUGAACCAGCCAUGCCGCGUGAAGGAUUAAGGCCCUCUGGGUUGUAAACUUCUUUUAUAGGGGACGAAAAAAGGGCAUUCUUGCUCACUUGACGGUACCCUAGGAAUAAGCACCGGCUAACUCCGUGCCAGCAGCCGCGGUAAUACGGAGGGUGCAAGCGUUAUCCGGAUUUACUGGGUUUAAAGGGUGCGUAGGUGGGUUGGUAAGUCAGUGGUGAAAUCUUCGAGCUUAACUCGGAAACUGCCAUUGAUACUAUCAAUCUUGAAUCAUCUAGAGGUAAGCGGAAUAUGUCAUGUAGCGGUGAAAUGCUUAGAUAUGACAUAGAACACCAAUUGCGAAGGCAGCUUACUAUGGAUGUAUUGACACUGAGGCACGAAAGCGUGGGGGAUCAAACAGGAUUAGAUACCCUGGUAGUCCACGCCCUAAACGAUGGAUACUCGACAUUUGUGAUAUACUAUAAGUGUCUUGAGCGAAAGCAUUAAGAUCCCAACCUGGGAAGUGCGACCGCAAGGUUGAAACGUCAAGGAUUGACGG
rnacentral:rRNA from 1 species